UACGGGGGGGGCAAGCGUUGUUCGGAAUUACUGGGCGUAAAGGGCGCGUAGGCGGCCUGCUAAGUCGGAUGUGAAAUCCCUCGGCUCAACCGAGGAACUGCAUCCGAUACUGGCGGGCUUGAAUCCGGGAGAGGGAUGUGGAAUUCCAGGUGUAGCGGUGAAAUGCGUAGAGAUGCGGAGGAACACCGAUGGCGAAGGCAGCCCCCUGGGCCGACAUUGACGCUCAGGCACGAAAGCGUGGGGAGCAAACCGG
rnacentral:rRNA from 1 species